rnacentral:rRNA from 1 species
AUGAUCCAAGUCGCCCACUGCACCAAAGCCGCCGCGGCGUGGACCGCCAUCAGGGAGAUGUUCCUCUCCCAGACGCAGGCCAACAUCGUCAACACGCGGAUCGCCCUCUCCAACACCAAAAAGGGCACCGCGGCCAUCGCUGACUACAUAGGGCACAUGAAGGCGCUGGGCGACGAGAUGGCUUCAGCAGGAAAGCCGCUCGAUGAUGAUGACAUGGUCUCCUACAUCCUCGCUGGACUAGACUACGACUACAUCUCGUUUGUCUCUUCCAUCUGCGUUGCGAGGACCGAACCAAUCAAGGUAGCCGAACUCUACUCUCAGUUGAUUGGCUUUGAAAAACGCCUUGCUAUGUUCGAAGGUGGCAACCACCCCCCCCAGUCCGCAGCCAAUGUUGUCUCCCGUUGCCGUGGUGGUUUCGACCGAGGUGGAGGUGGUCGCGGCAAUGGAGGAGGUGGUUGCGGCAACAGAGGCCGUGGCAAUGGAGGCGGUGGUCGUGGCAAUGGAGGCCGCGACAACAGCAAUGGAAGAGGUGAUGAUCUUCAUGAAGUCACCUACCAAAUAUGCAAGAGGCCGAACCACACCGCCCUCGAACGCUACCGCCGUUUCUACAUCUCCUUCACCAAGAAUGAUAAGAGCGCAGGGUCGGCCACUACUUCAUCCUAUGGGGUGGACACAAAUUGGUACCUUGAUACAGGGCCACCGACCACAUCACCAGCGAGCUUGACAAGCUAA